AUGGCAUCAACAGGGCACACAAGUGAUAUUAUUUGUCGUCGUUGUAAGGGAAGAGGACAUUUUGCGAGAGAAUGCCAAUCUCAGCGUGUGAUGAUUGCUACUGAGGAUGGUGGGUAUGAGUCCGCUAGUGACUAUGAUGAGGAGACUUUGGCUCUUAUUACACGUGAAGAACACGGUGGAGAUGAUUCUGAUCAUGAGACGCAAUACAUGGCUCCUGAAGAUGCUAACAGGUAUGAAUGUUUAGUUGCUCAAUGUGUUUUGAGUGUGCAGGUCACACAAGCUGAGCAAAAUCAGAGGCAUAAUUUGUUCCAUACAAAGGGAGUUGUGAAGGAACGUUCUGUUCGCGUCAUCAUAGAUGGAGGGAGCUGCAACAACUUGGCUAGCAUGGAGAUGGUGGAGAAGCUAUCUCUCACCACAAGACCACAUCCACAUCCUUACUACAUCCAAUGGUUCAACAACAGCGGCAAGGUUAAGGUAACACGUACUGUUCGUGUGCAUUUUAGUAUCUCUACAUAUGCUGAUUAUGUUGAUUGUGAUGUGGUACAUAUGCAAGCAUGUUCCUUAUUACUAGGUAGACCAUGGCAAUUUGAUAAAAAAUCUGUACACCAUGGUAGAAACAAUCAGUAUACUCUUGUUCAUAAGGAUAAAAAUAUUACUUUGCUUCCUAUGACUCCUGAUUCUAUUUUGAAAGAUGGUAUUAAUAGAGCUAAUAAAGCAAAACAGGAGAACAAUAAGAGUGAAAAUCAGAUUGUGGCAAAAGAAUUUGAGCAACAAAUGAAGCCUAAUAAUAAACCAUCUAGUGUUGCUUCUGAAAUUAAAUUGAAAAGUGCAUGUUUACUUGCCACCAAAUCUGAUAUUGAUGAUCUAGAUUUUAGCAAAUCUGUUUGCCAUGCUUUUGUGUGCAAAGAGGCAUUAUUUUCAUUCGAGGACGUGCCUUCCUCUUUGCCUCCUGCUGUCACUAACAUUUUGCAGGAGUUUGCUGACGUCUUUCCACAAGACGUGCCACCGGGAUUACCACCUGUUCGAGGGAUUGAGCAUCAAAUUGACUUAAUUCCCGGUGCAUCAUUACCCAACCGUGCGCCAUACCGUACCAAUCCAAAGGAGAUGAAGGAGAUUAUGCGUCAAGUAUAA
rnacentral:rRNA from 1 species